rnacentral:rRNA from 1 species
CUACGGGGGGCUGCAGUGAGGAAUCUUGCGCAAUGGGGGAAACCCUGACGCAGCGACGCCGCGUGGGUGAUGAAGGCCUUCGGGUCGUAAAGCCCUGUCGAGAGGGAAGAAUUGCAUUUAGGUUAAUAGCCUAAUUGUUUGACGGUACCUCCAAAGGAAGCACCGGCUAACUCCGUGCCAGCAGCCGCGGUAAUACGGAGGGUGCAAGCGUUGUUCGGAAUCACUGGGCGUAAAGGGCGUGUAGGCGGCUGAGUAAGUCAGGUGUGAAAUCCCUCGGCUCAACCGAGGAAGUGCAUUUGAUACUGGUCAUCUUGAGUACGGGAGAGGGAGAUGGAAUUCCCGGUGUAGAGGUGAAAUUCGUAGAUAUCGGGAGGAACACCAGUGGCGAAGGCGAUCUCCUGGACAGAUACUGACGCUAAGGCGCGAAAGCGUGGGGAGCAAACAGGAUUAGAUACCCCGGUAGUC